rnacentral:rRNA from 1 species
GACGAACCCGUGCGAACGUUAUUCGGAAUCACUGGGCUUAAAGCGCGUGUAGGCGGAUCGGUGCGUCGGCGCCUGAAAAUCCCCCCGGCGUCAACCGGGAACGGUAGGCUCGAAACGGACCGGUCUGGAGGGACGUAGGGGGUCGUGAACUUCCGGUGGAGCGGUGAAAUGCGUUGAGAUCGGAAGGAACGCCCGUGGCGAAAGCGAGACCCUGGACGUCUACUGACGCUGAGACGCGAAAGCUAGGGGAGCAAC